GCCAACGGCCAUACCAUGUUGAAUACACCGGUUCUCGUCCGAUCACCGAAGUUAAGCAACAUCGGGCCCGGUUAGUACUUGGAUGGGUGACCGCCUGGGAACACCGGGUGCCCCCGAAGACC